rnacentral:lncRNA from 1 species
UUGUCACAAAAGAAAGGAGUUACCGGAGAAAGCAUUUUUCAGCUAGAUUUGGCGGUAACAAUGGGGAAAGGGAAAAGGUGGCAGCGGCAAAAAGGGAGGCUUGAAGAUCGCGAAGGAGGAAAAUAUUAAAGGAGGGGCGGCACUGUUGGUGACCAUCCAUAACUCACGGACAAUUACCUCCGGCCAGCCAAUGACGAAAAAGAGGCAGAGAGGGAGCCACGAAGAUGGGGUUCAGCUGGAAAAGAGAGGAAAUGGAGAGGGGAGCUUUGUGGUGGUGGUGGUCUGACCCGCCGGAUCUCCGGCGACAGUGAACCGGUCGACAAAAGAAAGAGAGGAGAAAUAGAGAGAAAGGAGAGAGUGAAGGGGGAGAAACGGCA